CACAGGGGAGCGCAGGUGCAUGCAGUGCAGCUGAGUGACUGGAAGGGUUCCAGGGAACCAGGAUCCACUCCUUCCCACACCUCAUUUAAGGUUGGCAGUAGAGGUGAGGGUAUCCUACUCGAGAUCUCUGCAAACCUGAGGUUUUCUGCAGCCUGGUGAUCCUACGCCCCUGCCUGAAAUGACGCUGGUGCUUGUAGGAGGUGUUUUUCUCUGGGCUGUGAGACUAGUGAGAUGCUGAAGCUGAGCACGGAACAGAUUCGCAGCUGAUUGCCCUGAUUGGAGCCUGGGAGGUGCUGUGCCCAAGUCAAGCAUCCAAAGGGUGCCAACUGCAUUGCUGCCAAGGUUGGGAAAAGCGUGGCCGUGUUUGGGGCUCCCUGUGGCCUCCUCACUGGGACAGCCUUUCACCAUUGACACGUGUCUCAGAGGAAGGCAACACAAUCAUGCCUACAACUCAGGCUGGGAGUAGUGAGCUCCAGCUCCUGUACCGAAGGCCAACAAAACAGUGACUGUGUCCCCAAAGGGUGCCUUGUGGUUGUAGCUCAGUGGAAGGCUACAUCCUGCCCUGUGGCAAGCUAAAGUGCUCUGACAGCAGUUUGGUCUGUUCAUCAGCUUGGCAUGGAAGGUGGCACAGGAAGAGCUGCAACUAGGGCUGGCUGAACAAAGGUCUUUGCUCUGGAGUCUCCCACCUGAUUUAUUUAACCCAGGAUGCAGUAAUUCAUCAGGAUUGUGAUUCUUUCCAGUUAGCAUUUACAUAAAUGGGAGCAAGUUCAAACCAGGUGUAUGGUCAGCAUUAUCUCCAGCAGACCUGUUCUCCAGCAUUGCAGCACUGGCAGCAUCAUCAAAUUAAUUGAGGCUUGCUGUAUGUAGCCCUCAUUUUUUGAGGCUUUAUAGCAUUGUUAUAAAACAUCACGCUACAAUGCAACUGA